CCGGUUCCGGUUCACGAUGUCGAUUGGCGACGUCGACCCGGCGACC
rfam:Rhodococcus erythropolis PR4 DNA, complete genome.